CCAAUUAAAAUUACCUAAUAGUGGGUUGCCUCACACUCAGCGCUUUGUUAUAGUCAUUUAGCUUGACUGUGGAGGUAUGUGGCUAAUUGGUGGAAAGACAGCUACUUGUUCGGAAACAAGCAUCCACCUCAUCUCUGCACAUUCUGGACCAAGCUGCAAUGAAACUUCUUGUGGCCUCAUCAUUUCUGGUCCAUCUCUCAUCCAUCUUCUGUAUUGCAUUUAAGAUGUUCUGUAGCCUUUCUAGGAUGUUUUCAAUGCUGAACUGAUGCCAUCCUAUCUUGUCGUAGGCGUAUGUUGAUAACUCGUUCAGUUCCUCAUGCAUUGACUCCAUUUUGUUUUGUAUCAGCUGCUCGUCGUCUAGUGUAGACGUGGUAUCGAUCGAUGCGACCAAGUGUUUAUCGGUCGAUGCUGGUGCAUUACUGUCGAUUGAUUUGGAGUGUUUUUCUGGUGAUCGAUGCUGAUAUCU
rnacentral:lncRNA from 1 species